rnacentral:rRNA from 1 species
UGGGAAUAUUGGACAAUGGAGGAAACUCUGAUCCAGUGACGCCGCGUGAAGGAAGAAGGUCUUCGGAUUGUAAGCUUAUUUUAUCAGGGAAGAAACAAAUGACUGUACCUGAAGAAAAAGGACCGGCAAACUACGUGCCAGCAGCCGCGGUAAUACGUAGGGUCCAAGCGUUAUCCGGAUUUACUGGGUGUAAAGGGCGAGUAGACGGCAUAGCAAGUCAGAUGUGAAAACUUAGAGCCCAACUUUAAGACUGCAUCUGAAACUGUUAAGCUAGAGUGCAGAAGAGGUAAGUGGAAUUCCUAGUGUAGCGGUGAAAUGCGUAGAUAUUAGGAGGAACACCAGUGGCGAAGGCGACUUACUGGGCUGUAACUGACGUUGAGGAGCGAAAGUGUGGGGAGCAAAC